rnacentral:rRNA from 1 species
AGUGAACGCUGGCGGCGUGCCUAAUACAUGCAAGUCGAACGGAGUGGCGCACGGGUGCGUCAUUUAUAUCUAAUCUUCCCUCCACUAGAUGACAACAGUUGGAAAAGGCUGCUAAUAAUCUAUAGUGUAGGAUGAGGCUAUAUUGUAUCAGCUAGUUGGUGAGGUAAUGGCUCACCAAGGCUAUGACGCAUAACUGGUCUGAGAGGAUGAUCAGGAACCCUGGAACUGAGACACGGUCCAGACUCCUACGGGAGGCAGCAGUAGGGAAUAUUGCUCAAUGGGGGAAACCCUGAAGCAGCAACGCCGCGUGGAGGAUGACACGUUUCGGAGCGUAAACUACUUUUGUUAGGGAAGCGGUACCUAACGAAUAAGCACCGGCUAACUCCGUGCCAGCCGCCGCGGUAAUAC